UGAUGAAGUUGGAUAGUUGAAUCACAUGGUUGAAUGUUGAAUUGAAUAAUAUUGAAAUUGAACGCUGGAAUCCUGGCACGCUGCAUGGCUGCACGCUGAUUUCGUUGUGUUGUACAGUAAUUUUACGUGUUUUAUCAAUAUUAUCAGAAUCUACAUCCACUGAAGAUUGAUAUAAAAAAUUUCGACCAAAGAGUUUGGAAACUCCAAUAAUAACUUCUCAAGUGUUGGACAUCUUUCCAAGAUCCUUUCUCAUAUUUGAGAGGGAUAUCCAAUAUUCUCAAGAGGAUAUUAAAUAUCAGACAUCUAGUUUCAAGGCUCCUACCCAGACCAUACCAGGUAUAUCUACCUAGUUGGCACUCAUCUUGGUUAUUGUAUCCUACCAUCUUCAGUCUACAUAAUCAGAUGACUAUUUGUGUUGGUAUGCUAUUGCUUCCUGUUAGCAUCACCUGCUAAUUCAUCGUUGUGAUCUUCGAGUUGAUGCUCAAUCCGAACCCAUCUACAAUCUGCAAGAUUCGACCACAUCGGGCAAUUCAUCAAAUGCUUGUUUGAGUGCUGUUGAUUUCUGCAAGAAUUGUCUAUUAGUGCAUACUUCGAACGUUUCUUCAAUAAUCAACAAUAUCUUCAAGAUUCGCCCAAUCCGAUUUAUCAAUCUAAUCCAACAUCAAACCUCAACUUCAACAUCAACGUCAUUCAUCAAAUGUUCAUUUGGUAAAGAGUAAAAGAGAAAGACAAGAUGACUAGCUAUGCGGAUUUUCUUGCUGCAAUGGCAAAAGACCCUGAGAAACUUGAGUCAGAAAUUCAGGCCUUUACUGAUAAGGUGUCGAGUCACGUGAAUAAGCGUUUUGUGGAAGAACUUGAGGCCUCCUUCUCAUAUAAAACAUUUGUUGCCGAAUCAAAGGUUGGUGUUCCCAAUAGGCUGGGUGGGUCUGGGAACACCUGCUCCCGUGCGGGGAGGGGGGCAAGCUCCCAGGGAGGGGGGCGCACAGCAAACAAAAAUGAAUAGAGAAGAGAAAACUGUGUUGAAGCAAAUUAAGCUACCUCAAGCAAAUCGUGACAUGGUGCUAUGGACAAUCAUGUGAAUUCAAUUAUGCAGAAGUGAUUUAAUUAAUUAUAUUCAUAAUUAUUACACUAGAGGGCUUGAUUUUUCCUGAAAACAACAACAGAGAGUUUCUCACAUCCAGGGAGUUGUUUUUUAACUGGUGAAAAACCAGUCCAUCUUAAUGGUCCCAAAUCCAUUAUAAUGGAUUGUUUUUAUUCCAUUCAAGUGAUCCAAGUUGUACAUGUAACUUGUUAAAAUGUAGCAGCUUUUAAUCGGGCAGAAAUACUUUCCACAGUUCUUAUGAAAAAAAAAGAUGAGUCCUUUCCUUUCAGCAUUUUUUCAUUACUUAGCUGGAAAUCUCCAAAAGUAGAUUUCGUAUGCGUUUCACUCUUUUAGCUGUUAGACUUAUAAAAUCCCUUGCAGACUUAUAAAAGCCUGUCUGCAUAACUCGCACCUACUCGAGCCAAUCAUUACAUGAUAAGUGAAGUUAUUAUUUCUGACAGGUUCUUUAUUUUAUACCUGUUCACGUUUCACAUUUUCAGCUAUGAUUAAACUUUGUAGAAACAUAUCUUGCUUAUUUUUGUUGGAUAUAUCUAACGAUUUGCUGUGUAUAUCAAUUUUUUCAUCAGAAAUAAUUUUAUAUUAUUUCCUCAUACACUUGCAAGACUCACCCGUGGUAAUAGCUGCCACAGCCUUACCUUUUUAAUUAUAACAAUAAGCUUCUCCAUGCACUCGGGAAUAUUUGAUUUUACUCCGUUGAUAAUCCUGUUUAUUCCUUGUUUUUUUCUAUUUUUUCAGUACAAUCACUCAUCCUUGAAGAUUCAACAAAUAGGCCUAAACAAAUCACAGCUAGGCUAAAUUAUUCGUAUAAUGUCAAUUUUUGAAAAGUUAUUGUCAAUUUGUAAAACAAAAGAAAACUGGUAAAAAUCACAGUAACAAUAAUAACCUGCAGUAUAUAGGUUAGUGAUAGGUUGUUCUAUUUUACCAUGUCUUUCAGUACCGUACAUUUAUUCAUCCUUGAAGAUUCAACAACUUCACAAAUCACAGCUAAAUUAUUUGUAAAAAAUCAUUUUGUACAAAAAUUGAUAAAAAGAAAACUUGUAUAACUCUUAGUAACAAUAAACAGCAACCGCACUUUGUAAUUUAGUCACAA